GUCGGCCGACGUCGGCCUCGAUCAGCCGCUCGGCGCUCAGUUCGAGUCGGACCUCCGUCGUAGUCGGAUUGUGUCGUUCUGCCGCGCUGUCUCUCUCUCUUUCUCUCUUUCUCCUUCUCUUUUUCUCUCAUUCCCUCCCGUGGGCACGCGCGCGCGCGCGCCACUGUAUAUGUGUGUCCCUCGUUCUUCCUCUGUGUCCCCCUUUCCCCCCGGAACGACAACGAGUUCCGCCCAGUGAAAAAGAGUUGAGCUUUUCUGCAAACAAGACGCGUCCUCGGCGGCAGUUGUUUGUUUUCUGGUUUCGCGGUGUCGCGGUGACACAAACAGCGAAGUCGAAGAAACGAGGGACCGCGCGUGCGGAGGAGAGAAGAGACAACGAGUCGCCGCGUGUACCCUGCCACCCGUGUGGGUUCCCAUCGUCGUCGUCGUCGUCGUCGUCCUCCGCGUCGUCGUCGUCGUCGUUGUCGUCGUCAUCGUUGUUGGUGCGAAGAGUUUCAGUCAACGGAAAGAGAAAGAGUAAGGAGUUCUCUUCGCGCACGGAUACGUAAACCGGGGCUACAUAUGUACGCACAGACAUUGGAAACCGGUGCUAUUCAACCGAGCAACUUCUGCAUCGAGUACUCUUCAUUGAUUCGAUUUCGUAUUGUUUUGUGGUGUUUCGUGAAAGGUGUGUUUGUUCAAACCACCGAGUGGUGCGACUGUUUUAUGUAUGUGUGAUUUAAAUCAGUGAUUUCGCAGAAAAAGCCGAUUAUAUUCGGCGAGCAAA